GACGAACGCUGGCGGCGUGCCUAAUACAUGCAAGUCGAACGCAGUGGGGACGGGUGAGUAACACGUGGGUAACCUCCCAUCAGAGGGGAUAACACUUGGAAACAGGUGCUAAACCGAUACUGAUGGAUGGACCCGCGGUGCAUUAGCUAGUUGGUGAGGUAACGGCUCACCAAGGCCACGAUGCAUAGCGGACCUGGGGGGGUGACCGCCCACACGGGGACUGAGACACGGCCCAGACCCCUACGGGGGGCAGCAGUAGGGAUUCUGCGGCAAUGGACGAAAGUCUAACCGAGCAACGCGGGGUGAGUGAAGAGGGUUUUCGGAUCGUAAAUCUUGGUUGUUAGGGAAGCGGUAUCUAACCAGAAAGCCACGGCUACCUACUUGCCAGCAGCCGGGGUAAUA
rnacentral:rRNA from 1 species